rnacentral:ncRNA from 15 species
AAUUUAAUAGACAAUCCAGGUGCCGUUCAUGUUCCGAUGACGAAUGACGAACGGUUAAAAGAGAAGUUGGGUGAAAAUCCCACGCGGUCACGCCACUGUAAAAGAAGAAUCCUCCUAGAAAACCACUGGGGAACCGGGAAGGUUAGGAGGGUGAUGACGCUUAAGCCAGGAAACCUGCCUGUAUUUCUACACCAUGA